rnacentral:rRNA from 1 species
CCGUAAACGAUGAAUACUAGGUGUAGGGGUUGUCAUGACCUCUGUGCCGCCGCUAACGCAUUAAGUAUUCCGCCUGGGGAAUACGGUCGCAAGAUUAAAACUCAAAGGAAUUGACGGGGGCCCGCACAAGCAGCGGAACAUGUGGUUUAAUUCCAAGCAACGCGAAAAACCUUACCUAGACUUGACAUCUCCUGAAUUACCCUGUAAUGGAGGAAGCCACUUCGGUGGCAGGAAGACAGGUGGUGCAUGGUUGUCGUCAGCUCGUGUCGUGAGAUGUUGGGUUAAGUCCCGCAACGAGCGCAACCCUUAUUGUUAGUUGCUACCAUUUAGUUGAGCACUCUAGCGAGACUGCCCGGGUUAACCGGGAGGAA